rfam:Camelus ferus unplaced genomic scaffold scaffold477, whole genome shotgun sequence.
GGAGGGUACUGCUCAGUGGUAGAGUGUGUCCUUAGCAUGCACGAGGUUCUGGGUUCAAUCCCCAGCACCUCCA